GAUGAAGAACGCAGUGAAAUGCGAUAAGUAAUGUGAAUUGCAGAAUUCAGUGAAUCAUCGAAUCUUUGAACGCACAUUGCGCCCCCUGGUAUUCCGGGGGGCAUGCCUGUCCGAGCGUCAUUACAACCCUCAAGCUCAGCUUGGUGUUGGGCCCCGCCGCCCCGGCGGGCCCUAAAGUCAGUGGCGGUGCCGUCCGGCUCCGAGCGUAGUAAUUCUUCUCGCUCUGGAGGUCCGGUCGCGUGCUCGCCAGCAACCCCCAAUUUUUUCAGGUUGACCUCGGAUCAGGUAGGGAUACCCGCUGAACUUAAGCAUAUCAAUAAGCGGAGGA
rnacentral:misc_RNA from 1 species